GAUAAACGCUAGCGGCGUGCCUAACACAUGCAAGUCGAACGCGCACGGAGCAAUUCGUGUGAGUGGCGGACGGGUGAGUAACACGUGGGUACCUGCCCCAAGGUGAGGAAUACCGGCGAGAAAUCGCCGACAAUACCGCAUACGUUUGCGAGAGCAAACAAAGCUCGGAGUCUCCGGGCGCCAUGGGAAGGGCCUGCGGCCGAUUAGCUCGUUGGUGGGGUAAAAGCCUACCAAGGCGACGAUCGGUAGCUGGUCUGAGAGGAUGAUCAGCCACACUGGGAUUGAGAACGGCCCAGACUCCUACGGGGGGCAGCAGUGAGGAAUUUUCGUCAAUGGGGGAAACCCUGAACGAGCAACGCCGCGUGCAGGAAGAGGGUUUUCGGAUCGUAAACUGCUUUUCUCUGGGACGAGAACGGACGGUACCAGAGGAAUCAGCCCCGGCUAACUACGUGCCAGCCGCCGCGGUAAAAC
rnacentral:rRNA from 1 species